GGGCCCGUGGCUCAGCUGGGAGAGCGCCGCGUUCGCAUCGCGGAGGCCGAGAGUUCGAAUCUCUUCGGGUCCA
rnacentral:tRNA from 1 species